UAGGGAAUCUUCCGCAAUGGGCGAAAGCCUGACGGAGCAACGCCGCGUGAGUGAUGAAGGUCUUCGGAUCGUAAAACUCUGUUAUUAGGGAAGAACAAAUGUGUAAGUAACUAUGCACGUCUUGACGGUACCUAAUCAGAAAGCCACGGCUAACUACGUGCCAGCAGCCGCGGUAAUACGUAGGUGGCAAGCGUUAUCCGGAAUUAUUGGGCGUAAAGCGCGCGUAGGCGGUUUUUUAAGUCUGACGUGAAAGCCCACGGCUCAACCGUGGAGGGUCAUUGGAAACUGGAAAACUUGAGUGCAGAAGAGGAAAGUGGAAUUCCAUGUGUAGCAGUGAAAUGCGCAGAGAUAUGGAGGAACACCAGUGGCGAAGGCGACUUUCUGGUCUGUAACUGACGCUGAUGUGCGAAAGCGUGGGGAUCAAACAGG
rnacentral:rRNA from 1 species